rfam:Toxoplasma gondii VEG unlocalized apicoplast scaffold scaffold00502, whole genome shotgun sequence.
AGCGGGGUAGAGCAGGUUGGUAGCUCGUCGGGCUCAUGACCCGAAGGUCAGCGGUUCAAAUCCGCUCCUCGUUU